rnacentral:rRNA from 1 species
UACGUAGGGUGCAAGCGUUGUCCGGAAUUAUUGGGCGUAAAGAGCUCGUAGGCGGUCUGUUGCGUCCGCUGUGAAAGCCCGGGGCUUAACCCCGGGUCGGCAGUGGAUACGGGCAGGCUAGAGGUAGGUAGGGGAGAAUGGAAUUCCCGGUGUAGCGGUGAAAUGCGUAGAUACCCGGAGGAACACCAGUGGCGAAGGCGGCUUCCUGGUCUGCGACUGACGCUGUGGCGCGAAAGCUAGGGGAGCAAACGGG